AGGGCCACCAAAGGGGAACAUGUGAACUUAACUGCUGCGCCACUGGGCCAGCCCUGGUAUCAGACACAUUGUAUAUACCAGAGCUUUAGUCUCCCAGAUCCACACAGAGCACACACGUCACAGGCUCACGUGUAGUCGCUGAAGAGUAGGAUUUAAGGCUCUCUGCAUCCAUCGUGGCUCAGUUGUGAAGUACCAAAAAGCCCUGGUGGAAAGAUGGCCCAUUGACCUGGGAGCAGGAGGCCUGGGUGCUAGUCCUGGCCACACGACCCUGCGAAGUUCUUCCCAUCUCUGGGCCUCUGUUUCUUCAACUAGAAACUGAGAAGCUGGAGCUACGUAAUCACUUAAAACCCCUUCCAGCUCUGACAUUCUGGAGGCCUUAUCAAGGAUGAUGAACACAAAUGUUUACAGGGGCCAAGCACGUAAAUGGGCCAGGUGGGGACUGUGGCUAAAUAGAAAACUCAUGUCCUGCCCCAUCAAAGCAGCUGACGUUGCCAUGUGAGAAUGUGGGCCCGGGCUGCCACACUUCUGACAUUUUAAGAGAAGCCAUAGACCUGGAUUUCCUUAAUAUCAAAUACCCUGAUUUUUUAAUGUUUACAAUAAAUUUUUUAAAUUUAUAAGCACCAAGCAAACCAAAUAAGGCACACCUGUGAACCAGCUCCAUCGCUAGAGUUGCCAGUUUAGGACCUCUGAAUAAGGAAUCCCUCGGAAGGGGGCCUCGGACCAGAGCUAGAGCAGGCUCCAGGCCACUUGCCAGCUACCUAGCUUUCAGGGAACUGGUGGGGGUUUUAGGCAGAGACCCAUGAUGCUCUGAAAUCCCACAAGGGCGUCCAAGAACAUGCUCACGCCCCUUUGUGAGGCCACAGCUUCCAUGUGUCCCCCAGGCGGCUCCCUCAGGAUUUCUUAACUCACCCAGACACCUGGGCUUCUCAUCCUCUUCUCACCUUCCCCAACCCUGCCCUCUCUCCCAUCACCCUCCCCUGGCCUGCUGGCAGCUGAGAAACGACAGGACCAAGAGACAUUUCAUGAGGAAGAAAGAAAAAAUCAGUGUGAGAUCUGCUGGCACCCAUUUUUGAACCGCAGUGUGACAGGGAGGGGGUGGCUACCUGGGAAGUGGGUACCCCAGGUCACACAUUUAGGGCCUGUACACCCGACAGAGCCAACCUGGCAGAGUCAGGGAAGAGCGAGCACUGCAGCACAGAUGAGCGCUCCCGGGCUCCUUGCUGGUCCCAAGACAAACAGGAGGCCCCAUCUGGCCCACAUCUCCACCCUCAUUAAAUACCAGCUAAUUCCAGAGGAUGCAUUUGAGGCUCAACUCAACAAUCAAGAGAUUCAGCGGAUGAGCCAACACAGUGCUCCCUGGCUGGGGUGUGGAGGAGGAGUGAGGAUCAUGAGUCACAGGCAGCCCAGUCAGGAUGGAAGCCCGGACACAGGGCCUCUCUUCUCAGCCCUCACCAGGGCCCAAGCCCAGCCCAUCGUCCGCUGGUUGUUAAUUCCAUGCCUUGGAAGUCAAACCUCCAAAUGCCUUUCUUGGGUAAAGCUACUUGGAUCCAUUAAAAAUUCUCUUAGGGGCCAAACUUCACCACUCAGAGAAGCCCCUGCCAGCCAGUCAUUUCCCAGUUGUGGCCACCUGGACCGCUUCCCAGGGCGAACCCUGUUCCCAGUGACACACAUUAGGAGAGGUUUGUUGCUAAGGAAAUGGGUUUCCAAAUGAGGUCAGUGUGUGGCUCAAGAGGCUUCAUCCCUCCUCUGAGUGCCUCACACACACCCCUCCCCUAAUGCUAAUUCCUAAACAGAAAUUAGGAAGUAGAAAAGGUCAAGUUUCCAUGCCUUUCACCCAGGGAUCCAAGGCUCCCUGAUCUGUCUCGGUUCCUCCCCUUCUUCAUCCCUCUCCUCAAAACACCUUCUGCUGGAGCUGAAGACUUCCCAUUCAGAACCCUAAGGGAACGGACACAGGAGCUUGGCGUGAGCUUUUCCUUCUCCCAACAGGUUUUUCCUGGUAAUCUUAACUCAGUCCUAACAGUACAAACAGCCUGGGGAGAAUGACUCACUCCACAGCCCAGAUACUGCGCACAUCCUGUGCCUUGGCAGAACUAAGGCUUCUGCCUCAGGGCCGCCAUCUGAGUCCACCUGAGGCCAAACUGGAAAAUGGGCAAUGUUUGCCCUCAGCUCCCCAUCCCUAUGGGCGUUCCUCUGUCCUUCUGCCCUCAAGCUGACCCUGCCAGGCCAGUCAGGGGGCCUGAGUCCCCACCCUCCAGCCCUUCCUGAACUCCUUUGCAUCCCUCCCCCAACAAAGCCUCAGGUCGAGCUGCCUAGUGCUCUCCGCUCUAUUGGGCAACACAAUUGGCUAAUUGGAUACACCUGGGUGCAUCAGACAAGGCACUGGCCAGGGAAGCAGAAGGCAAGUUCUGGUCCUGGCUCUGCCACUUUUUAACCAUAUUUUCUUGAAUAAGCCUCAGCAUUCCAGUUGCAUCAUCUGUAAAAUAGAAUAAUGAUGCCUUCCUUGGCUCCUGCACGGGGAUCAAGCAAGCUUCUGAGCCUUGGUUGUCUCAUCUGUUAAUUGGGGAUAAUAAUACCAUUCUCACCCACUUCACAGGGUUGCUCUAAGGCUCAAAGAAGAUCAUGCAUGUGAUAGUGCUUUGUACCCAGUAAAGUGCUAUAUUCACAGAGGCGUUAUGAGCAAAGCCACUCCCAGGGGAGAGUCAUACAUGCCUAACAGCAGCCUCCUGGAAACCCCGUAUCAACAAAGAGAUGUGAGCCUGCUGGUUGGAAUCUGUGGACCAUAGCAGACCUGAGAGGGAUAUGCUGGGACAGAUGGGCCUCUUGGAAUCUCUGAUCACAUCACAGAUGUGGCCACCUACCCUGCCUACACUGCUGGCCCGGCCGUGCCCAUGUGGCUGAAGUUUCCCCUUUCUGCCCAACACCAGCAGCCUUUGCUGCAGUCUGGCAGCCCUGUCUGGAAGGUGACCAAUACCUUGGCCAUUUCUCCCUUUGUUCUUCCUGCUCUUCUCAGUGUCUUUGGCACUUGCGGAGUACGCUGCAUUCCUCCACCCUAGAAGCCAACUUCAUGGGUCUGCUCAGGGCUUGCCCCCUCACAGGGCCCUGGGGGGCAAGCUCUCCUAGCUGACCCUGUGCUUUGUCAGAAAACCAUGUGAUGCCAAACAACUGCCCUUGUUCUUUGGUGACAAUGACAGCAGAAUAACAACAAUAACACUUAGUAUUGAUGUCACGCUGCUCACCAGGAUGCCCAGAGGCACUGCAUAGAAUCAUUCAAAAGCCUCUGCUGUCCUCCUGGCUUGUGUUCCAGCUGGGCUGGAAAUGCAGCAACACUGCAAAAGAAGUCAGCAUCAGAACUGGAGAGACCCUGGUGUCCUGGGUUCCACUCCAAAGAUUCAAAGCAAGAAACUUUCAGCUCUGCUGCUGACAUGCUGUGUGAGUAUCAGAUAGGUCCUCCCCUUCUCCACAUGUUAGCUUUCCCACUUAAAAAGUGGGGACAUAAAGAGAUCCAUUGCCCUCAUGAAAUGAGGGGGUAGGGGAGGUAAUUCCUGAUCUCUUAAGCAUUGCACCAAGAUUCUACCUUUAGCUAACAGGUCCCUCGACUUAGCUUUCAAAUCCCUUUAAGGUGACACACCUAGAGGCACACCCUGAAGAAGACAGCUCCUCCCUUCAGACAUGGGGGAAAUGUGUGCACCAGGAAAACUCAAACGAGGUGAAAAAUGCAAGAAAGGGUGAUAUGCAAAAGCAGGGGUUAGUGCAAGUAGCUCAUUAAAACCAAUCAUUUGGGUUUUGGGCCUGAGAAUGUCUUUGUCCCCACCCUCCCCAGAAGGAAAUGGGGAUGUGGAGGUAAGUCUGUCAUCUUUUAGCCAGGCUUUUGGGUUCAGAAGCUGGAUGGCUGCACCGCAUAGCAACAGCAGCCAGCUGCCUUCCCGCCCCUAAAACAGGCGCAUGCUCAUCUCUAACCCUUUGGGGAAGAGGUUUCAGGACUUGCAGUCCCCGGGAAGGGGAAAUCCCAGCUGGUGCCCUGGAGCAACCCUGGCGCUAGUGCCAACAAGUGGCGCGGACAGCUUUGGGACUCAGAUGGGGAAGAUUGACACGCGAGGGCAGUCGGGCACUGCCGACAGACCAGGUGCUCGUCCCCUACCUCAGUGGCCAUAUUCCGGGGGAGCUGACCGCUCUGAGUCCGCGGCGGGGCCGGUCGAGGGUGCCUGUCCGCAGUGCUGACUCGGGAAGCAGUGAGAGCGCCAGGAGCUGUGCACGCGCUCCCGCGGCCUCCAGGGACUCCCAGACCCGGAGGAGAGAGAGGAAGGACGGUUCUGGGACAAGAUACUCCAGCCUGCGGAGGCUGACAGUCCUCCAAGCGUUUGCAGGCCCCCAGGUCGGGAAGACAAGAGGAGACUGAGAAGAGUGGCCAGUGAAGUAGGAGGAGAUCCAAGAGAGAGUGGUGUCCUGGAGUCAAGCAAGAAGCCUGAGAAACAAGGCUGGAGCCAGACAAUGAAGAGCCGUGAAGCAAGACAAUGGAGAGCCUGCGAGGGAGCCAAACAGUGAGGGGCAUAAGGAAAGCAACCUACCGGAACAGGUCACCUGGGAUCACCUUGGGGAUGGAUUAGAGGGCAGGAGCUGAAGCAGGAAGAGCAGGAAGGAAGCCAGUGUGCUAGACCAGGUUGGGGGUUGGCGGCAAGCAUGGGUCUGCCUAGGAAUGGCAGCAAAGAGACAGAUUCAAGAAACAUUUUAAAUGGAGUUGCCACAAGCUGCUGCUUCUGACUCAGUACAUGAGAGGAAGACAGGAGGGGUAGAUAAAGGAUGUGGGACUGUCCAUCCAUCUCCGUGGCUGGGAGAUGCCAUGAUCAGAAAUCACAAAGGCAGAUUAGGUGACACUCUGCAUGCCACAUGUGAAGGAUAGAAGCUUCAGCAAUUUUUUUAGGACUAAGGGGAUAGUGUAAGACUAUAGGUUAAGACUUGGGAGGUCUCUCUAUAAAAGUAACAUUGGAUGCCAUAAGAAUAUGUCACUUGACCUUGGGAAAGGGAUAAAGAGAGCUGUGAGAAAGGGACCAACUGUCUAGCCCUGGGCAAGAUGGUACAGUUGAAGUCAAAGAUGCCUUGGUUCAAAUCCCAGCUGUGUCCCUUACUAACUGAAUGGCCUUGGGCAAGUUCAUUAACCUCAGAGAGCCUAGGUUCCACAUCUGUAAAGUAGGAAUAAUAAUACCAAGUCGCAGGAUCUUUGUAAGCAGUAAACAAAAUGACCUCUGGAAGGAGCCAAGUUCGGCUCUCAGUCUGUAGCAGGUGUUCACCAAGCGUAGCCCAUGGUGAGAAAGGGGCAGUAAAAGGAGAAGAGAAGGAUGGAAGAUGGAAAUCCAGGACCCUGGAGCAUCACAGAAGCCCAAGGAGGCAAAGUCCUCCAGAAGGGUAGAUGAAUAGUAUCAAGUGUUAUACAAAGUUCAAGAGCAACUAGAGAGGCAGGAACUGCAUUACUGAAUCUUUACAGACUGCAGUUUGGAGGAGUACAAAAAGAGCUGGUGAACAGAACACAGAAAAAUCAAGAGAGAGAAAUCCACACAAAGACACCCCAUCAGUCAGGAUGUUUGGGCUGCAAAAACAUUAUCUUACUAACAUGGUUUGAGCAAUAAAGACAUUUAAUUAACAUAAUAGGAAGUCUGGGGAGUGGAGCUCCAGGAUUAGCUCAGUGGCUCAGCAAAGUCCCCAAGAAUCCAGGCUUUUUCCAUCCUUUCUCUACAACAUUCCAAGCACAUUGGUUUCUCAUCCUCAGAGUUAUUGCCUUGUAGUUGCAAGAUGGCUGCUGCAGCUCCAAACAUCGUGUUCUCAUAUAUAAACAUCCAUGGCAGGAAGAAACGGGGAGAGCCUACUUCUUUUUCUCAGAGAGACAAAUCUUCAAGAUUUCCCAGAAGCCUCCUGGCAUAUUUCCUCUUAUACAGUAGUCCCUCCUUAUCCACAGUUUUGUUUUUCAUGGUUUCAGUUACCCAGGGUCAACCAUGGCCAGAAAAUAUUAAAUGGAAAAUCCCAGAAAUAAACAAUUCAUAAGUUUAACUUGCAUGCCCUUCUGAGUAGUGUGAAUCAUCCCUUUGUCUAGCAUAUCCAUGCUAUAUACACUACCUGCCCAUUAGUCACAUAUAGCCAUCUCGGUUAUCAGAUCGACUGUCAAGGUAUCACAGUGCUUGUGUUCAAGUCACCCUUAAUAAUGGCCCCAAAGCACAAGAGUACUGAUGUUGGCAAUUCAGAUAUGUCAAAGGGAAGCCGUUAGGUGCUUCCUUUAAGCAAAAAGGUGAAAGUUCUCAACUUAAUAAAGAAAGAAAAGAAAUUAUACAUGAGGUUGCUAAGAUCUAUG